rnacentral:miRNA from 1 species
UGGUCAGUGGACGUAAUGGGUUU